AGUGAACGCUGGCGGUAGGCCUAACACAUGCAAGUCGAACGGCAGCACAGUAAGAGCUUGCUCUUACGGGUGGCGAGUGGCGGACGGGUGAGGAAUACAUCGGCAUCUACUUUUUCGUGGGGAUUACCGUGGGAAACUUUCCCCUAUACCGCCAUCGGUCUACCGGGGGAAAUCGGGGGUCCUCCGGCCUUUGGCGGUUUCAUUUGCCGAUGUCGGAGUAGCUAGUUGGCGGGGUAAAGGCCCACCAAGGCGACGAUCCGUAGCUGGUCUGAGAGGAUGAUCAGCCACACUGGAACUGAGACACGGUCCAGACUCCUACGGGAGGCAGCAGUGGGGAAUAUUGGACAAUGGGCGCAAGCCUGAUCCAGCCAUACCGCGUGGGUGAAGAAGGCCUUCGGUUUGUAAAGCCCUUUUGUUGAGAAAGAAAAGCAGCAGGUUAAUACCCCGCUGUUCUGACGGUACCCAAAGAAUAAGCACCGGCUAACUUCGUG
rnacentral:rRNA from 1 species